rnacentral:rRNA from 1 species
CCUACGGGAGGCUGCAGUAGGGAAUCUUUCACAAUGGGCGAAAGCCUGAUGGAGCAACGCCGCGUGCAGGAUGAAGGCCUUCGGGUUGUAAACUGCUUUUAUAAGCGAGAAAUAUGAUGGUAACUUAUGAAUAAGGAUCGGCUAACUACGUGCCAGCAGCCGCGGUCAUACGUAGGAUCCGAGCAUUAUCCGGAGUGACUGGGUGUAAAGAGUUGCGUAGGUGGCAUAAUAAGUAGCUAGUGAAAUCUGGUGGCUCAACCAUUCAGACUAUUAGCUAAAAUGUUAAGCUCGAGACCGUUAGGGGUAACUGGAAUUUCUGGUGUAGGAGUGAAAUCCGUAGAUAUUAGAAGGAACACCAAUAGCGUAGGCAGGUUGCUGGGACGGUUCUGACACUAAGGCACGAAAGCGUAGGGAGCAAACGGGAUUAGAUACCCGAGUAGUC